AUUAGAACAAAUCCUUGGCGUGCGCUGGACUGAUACCGCUCCACUAACAGAUGAAAUGCCCAGGCAGCUUUGCUGCGGGCAGCCGUGGCUGGUGGAGAUCUAGCAGGAGCUGUUGUUGACCUGGAUCCUUUUGUCUUGUGGGGUCAGCGUGGCAGAGCUCUCCCUAUCUCAGUGGCUGCACUGCAGUACUGUGCUGCUUGUCAUUGCUCUGAUAACAACUCCGCGCGAGUUAAUGCUGUGGAGUCAGGGCCUGCUGUGAUCCGGCCUGCAGAGUUCCCCAUGAAAGCAGCACCUUGAAAAGCCUGACAUUGGGAGGUGCCAAGAAUAUGUGGCUCCUACCGACACUCCAGCCUCCCUCCACAGCCAGCUCAGGCUGCAGUGUCCAGCUCCCACCUGCACGAUGUGCCGUGUCCACCCUCCUACAUACCGAGGUGGAAGAAAGCGUCCGGUCUCCGCACAAGGACUUGGGUCCUGCCAUCUCCCCUGCCGUCUCCCCUAAGUCCCAGCCUGCUUGCAGGGUCCUGCUGUACCUGUGGAGAGGGAGCAGCCCCUCCAGCAAGAUCAGCCCUAUAGCAAUCCCUCUGUUCACUCCUGUGCUCCCAAAAGAGCCUGGGAAGGGGGAGGAAAACCCGGGAAAUUUUUGCCUCUGAUUUGCUCUGCAAUGCAUGCACACACUUCUGCAGCAGGAUAAAUGACAGCUGGGGCCUGCUAGGUGGGAACCACCCUCCCCGAUAAGGGAACAUGUUGACGCAGGAGAUUAAACUUGUCCACUUCUUUUUUAAGUGCAUCUAUUGGCAAAACAUGAGCCCAAGGAAAAAAACAAAGGAGAAGCCAGCACCCUGCCUGGCAUUGCAGACUCUGCGGGGAAAAGUGUCCCCAGGAGAGAUGGGCUAUUUUCCCAGUCAUGCCCUUUCUCUGCUUGAAGGAUUUGCCUGGGGAGAAUUCGAAGAUCUCCACAAGGUACCUCACAGGAACCUCACAGGUUCCUCACCCUCCAUUGCAUGCUCUGAGACACAAAGCCGGGAUUUACAAGGGAACCAAGAAUUUCCUGCCAAACCUGCCAAAGCAGGAGCUAGCAGGCAGCGUGGCAGGAGCGCUUGCCCAGUGCUCUGGCACAGAUCCAGCGCCUAUGGAAGGAGAUGGGAGAUGUUUUUCUUGGUUCCCCUUGAAUAGCAUUCAGGACAUUUUCUGCCUCUCACCUAUGAUGGAAGGAAUCGCUCAUGAAAUCCUCACACAGUCACCACUAUCAGGGACGACCACAGCCCUGCGAAGGCACGAUUCAGAGAAGAGACGGCGUUAUGCCUGGCCUUGCUGCCUGCUGACUAGUGCCAGAUGAGGAAGACCCAUCCAGGGCAUGAAGGCUUUCCUCUGGGAGCAGGGCUUCAAGGCAAGCCCUGCAACACCCUCCUGCUCCCUGCAAUGGCAUUGCUAACCCACGGCCAGCGCGGGUCUUGCCUUUGGGGAGAUGAGGCUGACGGGUGAGCUUCGCUCCAGCUCAGGCCACAGGGCCAACUUGUGGAGGCUGAGCCCUGGGGGCCAUGGGGAGCUGGGGCAGGAAGGGUCUGCGAUGGACUCGCUGUCUCCAGGGCAGGAGGGAGAGCAGCCCUCCUCUUCCACAAACACUUUGUGUGUGUGCUGGCUCUCCAGGAAAAUAUUUGUCGUGGUCUGAGGCACAUCUUUUUAAAAGCCUCAGCAUUUUCACCUGCGAGCUUCAUGCAGGAGACAGACGAUUAAGAAAAUAAAACUCUCAACCAAAGAAAACGCCCCUAGCCC
ensembl:lncRNA